GAGAGUUAUAUUUCCAAGGAUUCACUCACCUUCCAAGACAAGGGGGAGGACAUUUCUGCCUAUAAACAACAAGAAAAACAAUGCAUGAUGCGCAAUCACCACCCACUUGGGUACCAGAAACAAUACAGAGGACCUCCGCGCGCCACACCUUCCUACUGCUUAUUCAUGAGCAAAAGAUACACCGCGGACCCUCCCCACCGCAAAGCAGCUGAAGGCCUGCCAUCGGAACCUCAUAGCAUCUGGCUCGAAGGAUCAUCAUCCCUUCCCAAACUAUUUUAAUAAACGUUCAUACUUUCAUUUUGUCUUUGUUGUUCAUUCAGUUAGCCUGUCAUUGUUUGAACUGAUGUUAACAUGUAGAGGUGGUUAUUGGAUACUGUCUGCUUAGUAGAGGUGAGGGGAAUUAUGUGUUAAGUAGGUCAUAAUUUACAUGUAGUAAAUGUUAUUCUAGUAUUUGUAAGGUGGUAACUGUAUAAUUGAUGCGUGUACAUAGCUCUGAAAGGAAUGCUGUGAAGUUGUAAAACCAAACCAGGCCAGUGGAAGUCACAGUGCUACUGUGGCUUCUUUA